rnacentral:rRNA from 1 species
UACGUAGGUGGCGAGCGUUAUCCGGAAUUACUGGGUGUAAAGGGUGUGUAGGCGGGUCGGCAAGUCAGGCGUGAAAAGGGAAGGCUCAACCUUUCCCCUGCGCUUGAAACUGUCGGUCUUGAGAGUGGGAGAGGUAAACGGAAUUCCUGGUGUAGUAGUGAAAUGCGUAGAUAUCAGGAGGAACACCGGUGGCGAAGGCGGUUUACUGGACCACAACUGACGCUGAGACACGAAAGCGUGGGGAGCAAAC